rnacentral:rRNA from 1 species
UGGGGGAUAUUGGUCAAUGGGGGGAAACCCUGAACCAGCAACGCCGCGUGAGGGAAGACGGCCUUCGGGUUGUAAACCUAAGUGAUCAGGGAUGAAACAAAUGACAGUACCCGAAAAGCAAGCUCCGGCUAACUACGUGCC